AUGUUACAGCUGGCAAAGCAGCGCCUCUACCACGUCCGAAUUCGGGGCAACAUCACAAAGCUAGAAAAUGCCAGCCCUGACUCCAGACCGUCCCCACUGCGCCGCAAUCCUCCCAAAGCUGUUGGCAUCGCUUCCUUCUGUCUUAGUGUAUUCCCGUUCCUUGGACUUUCUACCACCGUGGUUUUUAAUUCCACAUCAUCAUAUAUGUCCGCACUGUCUUAAAUUGUUUGAUUCCCCAUAAUUGUAAUUACCACGAAGGACGUGUGUGCUGAUUUUACCUGAUUCAGGGAUUUAAUAAGCCCCUGUGAACAGGCUCAUUCUGCUUUUACGGAGGGAGUUUGACAUCCCAGGCGCCACUUGAAGGAGAUCUUUUUGUUACACAGAAAGUUUUGAGGGAUUUUUUUUUUCCCCAUAACUCAAAUUCCUCCAUCUUCGUUUUAAACUAGCAUGUAACAAUACCACUUUUCGGGGAGUUCCCUGGUGGCCUAGUGGUUAAGGCUAUAGUGUUGUCACUGCUGUGGCUCUGGUUACAGCUGUGGCAAGGGUUUGAUCCCUGGCCUGGGAACAUCCACAUGCCAUGGGUGCGGCCAGAAAAAAAAAAAAACUACCAUUUUCCAGACAAGAGAAGAAAAGUGAAGCUUCGAAAAGUUGUCCUUUGGUCAAAGAGUAGAUGUGAGACAAACUGGAAGACUCUGGGGUGACGGUGCCUCGACAUCAUGCCAGGUCACCGUUCCCAAUGCCAGACGUAAAAAGCUGUGCUGUCAACGGUGGGGAAUCCCUGCUCGGUGAGCAGACCCCUCAAUCAGUGGCGUUCAGAGGGAGCUCAGAUUCCCUCCUUGGCUCCCGAGUUCUGCCUGCUCUUCCCCUCUUGUCCAGUUGACACACACCCUAAGACUUUGGAAGUCCACUGUUGCCACCUGAGCCCGACCUGGUGUCCUGCCUGCCUCUCAGCCGCCAGUUAAGCUCUCCUUUUAGCUUGGUUCUGCAGCCCCCGGAGCUGGCAGGCA
rnacentral:lncRNA from 1 species